rnacentral:siRNA from 1 species
UACAUGGUCCUCUUUGGGGAACU